UACGGAGGGUGCAAGCGUUAUCCGGAUUUACUGGGUUUAAAGGGUGCGUAGGCGGGCAGGUAAGUCAGUGGUGAAAUCUUCGAGCUUAACUCGGAAACUGCCUUUGAUACUAUCUGUCUUGAAUAUUGUGGAGGUAAGCGGAAUAUGUCAUGUAGCGGUGAAAUGCUUAGAUAUGACAUAGAACACCAAUUGCGAAGGCAGCUCACUACGGGAUCAUUGACACUGAGGCACGAAAGCGUGGGGAUCAAACAGG
rnacentral:rRNA from 1 species